UAAGCGCGAAGCAGGCCUCGAGAUGAGUUCUCACUAGACUUUUAAAGUCUCUGAAGGGCCGUUGAAGACUACAACGUUGAUAGGCAGGAUGUGGAAGUGGUGUGAGCCAUUAAGCUAACCUGUACUAAUUACCCGUGAGGCUUAACCAUACAACGCCAAACGCGUUU
rnacentral:rRNA from 1 species